GAUGCAGCCAUGCCGCGUGUAUGAAGAAGGCCUUAGGGUUGUAAAGUACUUUCAGUCGGGAGGAAGGCGUUGAUGCUAAUAUCAUCAACGAUUGACGUUACCGACAGAAGAAGCACCGGCUAACUCCGUGCCAGCAGCCGCGGUAAUACGGAGGGUGCAAGCGUUAAUCGGAAUUACUGGGCGUAAAGCGCACGCAGGCGGUUGAUUAAGUUAGAUGUGAAAUCCCCGGGCUUAACCUGGGAAUGGCAUCUAAGACUGGUCAGCUAGAGUCUUGUAGAGGGGGGUAGAAUUCCAUGUGUAGCGGUGAAAUGCGUAGAGAUGUGGAGGAAUACCGGUGGCGAAGG
rnacentral:rRNA from 1 species